rnacentral:rRNA from 1 species
CGGAUUCGCGAGAUUGGGAUCUCUCGGUGUACUUACUCGUACGGUUAGUCAACAUCGGUUUUGAAUGUCAUAAAAUGACUGGAGGAAUGUAGCUUCGAUGUCGUAUUGAAGUGUUAUAACCUUUGGUAAAUGUGAUGUUUGAGACCGAGGAUUGCAACGGAUACCCUUCAGGGCUAUUCGUCUGAUCUCUGAUACGUUGCCCUGAUGUUGAAAGCUUGCUUAUGAUGUUAGGA